CUGAUGGGACUGCCGGUGACAAACCGGAGGAAAGGUGGGGAGUGACGUCAAGUCCUCAUGGCCCUUAUAGGUGGGGCGUACACACGUCAUACAAUGGCCGGUACAAAGGGCAGCCAACCCGCGAGGGGGGAGCCAAUCCCAUAAAGCCGGUCGUAGUCCGGAUCGCAGUCUGCAACUCGACUGCGUGAAGUCGGAAUCGCUAGUAAUCGUGGAUCAGCAUGUCACGGUGAAUACGUUCCCGGGUCUU
rnacentral:rRNA from 1 species